rnacentral:rRNA from 1 species
UACAGAGGUCCCAAGCGUUGUUCGGAUUCACUGGGCGUAAAGGGUGCGUAGGUGGCGGGGUAAGUUUGAUGUGAAAUCUCCGGGCUCAACCCGGAAAUGGCAUUGAAUACUACUCUGCUGGAGGGUUGGAGGGGGGACUGGAAUACUUGGUGUAGCAGUGAAAUGCGUAGAUAUCAAGUGGAACACCAGUGGCGAAGGCGAGUCCCUGGACAACUCCUGACACUGAGGCACGAAAGCUAGGGGAGCAAACAGG